rnacentral:rRNA from 1 species
CCUACGGGAGGCAGCAGUGAGGAAUAUUGGUCAAUGGACGCAAGUCUGAACCAGCCAUGCCGCGUGCAGGAAGACGGCCCUAUGCGUUGUAAACUGCUUUUGUACGAGAGUAAACGCAGGUACGUGUAUCUGUCUGAAAGUAUCGUACGAAUAAGGAUCGGCUAACUCCGUGCCAGCAGCCGCGGUAAUACGGAGGAUUCGAGCGUUAUCCGGAUUUAUUGGGUUUAAAGGGUGCGUAGGCGGGCGGCUAAGUUAGGGGUGAAAUCCCGAGGCUCAACCUCGGAAUUGCCUCUGAUACUGUGCGGCUAGAGAGCAGUUGCGGUAGGCGGAAUGCAUGGUGUAGCGGUGAAAUGCUUAGAUAUCAGACAGAACACCGAUUGCGAAGGCAGCUUACCAAGCUACUACUGACGUUGAGGCACGAAAGCGUGGGGAGCAAACAGGAUUAGAUACCCUUGUAGUC